UGAGCAAUCUGCCCUUCUCAUCGGAAUAAGCGUUGGAAACGACGUCUAAUGCCGAAUACGACCUCCUUUCGCAUGAUCGGAGGUGGAAAGCUCCGGCAGAGAAGGAUGAGCUCGCGGCCUAUCAGCUAGUUGGUGUGGGUAAUGGCCCACCAAGGCGACGACGGGUAGCCGGCCUGAGAGGGUGACCGGCCACACGUGGGGCUGAGACACGGCCCAGACUCCGUAGGAG
rnacentral:rRNA from 1 species